rnacentral:rRNA from 1 species
UUGAACGCUGGCGGAAUGCUUUACACAUGCAAGUCGAGCGGCAGCGCGGGGCAACCUGGCGGCGAGCGGCGAACGGGUGAGUAAUGCAUCGGAACAUGUCCAUGUCGUGGGGGAUAGCCCGGCGAAAGCCGGAUUAAUACCGCAUACGCCCUUAGGGGGAAAGCCGGGGACCGCAAGGCCUGGCGCGAUUGGGUUGGCCGAUGUCCGAUUAGCUAGUUGGCGGGGUAAGAGCCCACCAAGGCGAUGAUCGGUAGCUGGUCUGAGAGGAUGAUCAGCCACACUGGGACUGAGACACGGCCCAGACUCCUACGGGAGGCAGCAGUGGGGAAUUUUGGACAAUGGGGGCAACCCUGAUCCAGCCAUUCCGCGUGAGUGAAGAAGGCCUUCGGGUUGUAAAGCUCUUUUGUCCGGAACGAAACGGUUGGCGUGAAUAUCGCCGACUACUGACGGUACCGGAAGAAUAAGCACCGGCUAACUACGU